rnacentral:lncRNA from 1 species
UGUGCUUUAAUUCUUCAUGUAGACUUCAAUUUGUAGUAGAAUCUUCCUUGAAAAAUAAGCUAUUAAAAAUAAAUGGGAAAAUAGGCAAAGGUGGAAUCCUUCUUGGCAUCAAACUCCCAUAUGCACACCCCACCUGUGUGGCCGUGUAUUCCUAUAUACGUGUGGGUAUCUGCAUGUGUGGCUUCCCAUACGUGCGGCCUUCUGUGAAAGCACAACUCCCAUAUGUGUGGCUAUGCGUGUGUAUCCUGCUUCUUUGGUACAAACAUGUUUUCCCGUGUGCGGGCAAGGGCCUCCAGUGCAUGCAACUUGUUUUCUCACGCAGGAAAGGUUCCUGCAG